GACGAACGCUGGCGGCGUGCCUAAUACAUGCAAGUAGAACGCUGAAGAGAGGAGCUUGCUCUUCUUGGAUGAGUUGCGAACGGGUGAGUAACGCGUAGGUAACCUGCCUUGUAGCGGGGGAUAACUAUUGGAAACGAUUGCUAAUACCGCAUAACAAUGGAUGACACAUGUCAUUUAUUUGAAAGGGGCAAUUGCUCCACUACAAGAUGGACCUGCGUUGUAUUAGCUAGUAGGUGAGGUAAUGGCUCACCUAGGCGACGAUACAUAGCCGACCUGAGAGGGUGAUCGGCCACACUGGGACUGAGACACGGCCCAGACUCCUACGGGAGGCAGCAGUAGGGAAUCUUCGGCAAUGGGGGCAACCCUGACCGAGCAACGCCGCGUGAGUGAAGAAGGUUUUCGGAUCGUAAAGCUCUGUUGUAAGUCAAGAACGGGUGUGAGAGUGGAAAGUUCACACUGUGACGGUAGCUUACCAGAAAGGGACGGCUAACUACGUG
rnacentral:rRNA from 1 species